CCUUAGCUCAGUGGUAGAGCCUCUGCUCUGCAUGCAGAUGGUUCCAGGUUCAAUCCCCAGCAUCGGGU